UGGGGAAUAUUGGGCAAUGGGCGAAAGCCUGACCCAGCGACGCCGCGUGGGUGAUGAAGGCCUUCGGGUUGUAAAACCCUUUCGUGCGGAAAGAAUAGUCCUGUAGCGAAUAACUACGGGAUUUGACGGUACCGCAGGAAGAAGCACCGGCUAACUCCGUGCCAGCAGCCGCGGUAAUACGGAGGGUGCAAGCGUUGUUCGGAAUUAUUGGGCGUAAAGGGCGCGUAGGUGGUUGUGAUAGUCAGAUGUGAAAUCCUUCGGCUCAACCGAAGAACUGCAUCUGAAACUUCAUAGCUCGAGUACAGGAGAGGGAAACGGAAUUCCCGGUGUAGAGGUGAAAUUCGUAGAUAUCGGGAGGAACACCAGUGGCGAAGGCGGUUUCCUGGCCUGAUACUGACGCUGAGGCGCGAAAGCGUGGGGAGCAAACAG
rnacentral:rRNA from 1 species